GCGUCCACGGCCCAAUUUGACGCCCUCCCUCGGACCCAUCCACAACCCGGUAAUUUUCCUACUGCAGAUUUGAACACGUCAGAAUUCACCUCGGUCCCCCAAUCGCCCCAGAUUGUUCCGGAUCGCUCCAGACGCCGGGCACCCGCGGGAACUUCCCCGCCCCGGGCCGCCCGCGGCGCAGAGCAUCCCACGCGGACACGGCGCCCUCGGGAGGGGACGCGAGGCCGUCCCGGCGCAGUCUCAUCCUGGGGGCGCAGCCUCUCGUCCCCCAGCGCCGCAGCCUCAUCCUUGGGGCAGCCUCCCCUUCCCGGUGGUGCAGCCUCAUCGCGGGGGCGCACUCUCUCCUCCACCGAGCGAUCGCAGAGCCUUCCGCGCGGACACGCUGCCCUCUCGAAGGGUACGCAGGGCCGUCCGGGGCGCAGCCUCAUCCCCGGGCGCAGCCUUCCCUUCCUGGGGCAGAAGGCAUCCGGAGAAGACGCAGCACUCCGAGGGAAGGGACGAGGCUGUCCCCGACGUCGUCUCCCCUCCCCGGAGGCGCAGCUUCACCCCGGGGCGCAGUCUCCCAACUCCCCUGGCGCAGCUUCACCCUGGGGCGCAGUCCCCCCACCCCUCGGGCGCAGCUACAUCCCAGGGAGCAGACUCCCUCCCCGGGGCGCAGCCUCCCUCCCCGGGGCGCAGUCCCCCCUCCAUCCUGGGGCGCAGCCUCAUCCCGGGGCGCGGUCCCCCCCUCCAUCCCAGGGCGCAGCCUCAUCCCGGGGCGCAGUCCCCCUCCAUCCCGGGGCGCAGCCUCCUCUCCCGCGGCGCAGAGCAUCCCGCGCAGACGCGGCGCCCGGGGAGGACACGCGGGCGUCCGGGCGCAGCCUGCCCUCCCCAGGCGGCCCGCGGCCCCUCCGGACAGCCCUCCGGACACAGCGGCCGGCAGCCCGGGUCCCGCUGGUGCCGCACGGCCGGCGGCCUCCCCACCUGCCCCGCGGCGCUUACAUAAACGCGGCCCGGCGCUGCCCGGCGUGUGUCCGCCGCCCGCCUCACCUCCGCGGGCCGCCCCGCACGCCGCGCCGGCUCGGGCCGCCGGUCCGCGGGCUGCCUGGGCCGCCGGCUGCGGCGCGCUGGCCGUGUCCUGGCGCGGCCCCGAGCGCGGCCCCGAGCGCGCCCGAGACGCCCAGCCCGCGCCUCGCCCGCAGCCCCGAGCGCUCAGCCCCAGCCCGAGCCCGAGCCCGAGCCGCGCCGCCCGCCCCCGCCCGGCCGCGCGCACGCCGGGGACGCCGCCACGCAGCACGUGAGCGCGCACGCUCGCCGUGCCGACCUCCCCGGGGUCCGCGGGCCGGGGGUCCGCGGGCCGGGAGUCCGGGCGGAGGGGAUGGCCCCGGGGCGGGGGCCCGCCGAUGGCGUUCGGGGGUGCAGGGGACGAGACCCGGCGAUGGUGGCCGGGGGCGCAGCGGACGGCCCGGGGACCGCCCUGACCGGGACGGGGACCGGGCGAUCGUGGUCGGGGACGGUGAGGCCCCCUCGGCCUGCAGCCGCGGGCUGGGGAGGCGGGCGGCGCGGGGCCGAGACCCGCCUGGAGGCCGGUGCGAGGCGGGCUGUGGCGCCCAGGCCGGCCGCCUUCCCGGGGAGCGGCGAGGAGCUGAGGCCCAGCCUGGGCGGUGGAAGUCGGGCCCUGUUUGGAGGAGAACGUGGGGUCCCGGUCCCCAGACUCCAGAGCGGCCCCCCUAUCCAACCCCGUUCCUGCCUAGAACUCUCGGUGGGAUCAGAAGCAAGCCCAGAUAA
rnacentral:lncRNA from 1 species